CUGUGUUGGUGGGGACUUAUACCAGGUGGAAGAUAUUGAGACAAACGUGUCAAUGACGAUUAUGUCACGAGAGGUGUACCAAGCUAUAAACUAGCUGGCUGAUGGCAAAGCAAGUGGACUAGACCAUAUUACUGCUGGACGUCUUAAAUAUGUCCGAGGAUAGCUGAGCUGAGAGUUACCAAGUGAUAGGUAAGGUAACCCACACGACGAUAUGGUAUGGUUUCCUAACAGAUUUUAAAUUUAUUUUAAAUGUUUAUGCAAUAUAAAUCCCUAGAUGGGGAACUUUAUUACCAGUGCCGCAGAAAAAAAGAUGAUCAGCGUCAUCAUCUUGCCACGGUUCUAGUUACUCCACAAGAAGCUUUGUGGAGUUUUCAUGCCAGUGAUAUUGGCGCUCAUUAUGGUAUUGAGAAAACCUUGGAUGCAAUCCUUCAAAGGUAUUAGUGGCCUGGCAUGAAGGCUGACAUCCAAAAAUGGAUUUCCCAAUGCGAUGCAUGCCAGAAAAGGAGGACCUCUAUAAAAGAAGAAAAUUCAUUACAAACCCAUCGAGGUGACUGAGCCCUUUGAACUUGUGGGAAUGGACCUUGUUGGAAAGCUGAAAUGCACCAACAAUGGUUAUAUGUACAUAUGUGUGAUGGUGGACUACUUCACAAAGUGGCUAGAAGUCUACCCACUAAGAACGAAGGGAGCAGAAAAAGUCACACAGUGCAUUAUGGAUUUCUUUUAUAAGUAUGGCGCCCCAAAACGCAUGGAAAAGAAUUUGUCAACAGAAUAAACUCAGGAUUGUGUGAAAAUCUUGGAAUUGCCAGAAGUCUGUGUGCUCCCUACCACCCUCAAACUAAUGGCUUGGUCGAAAAGCUAAAUGGCACAAUUCAAGGAUCUUUGAAGAAAAUGGUGCAGGACCACCCGAGUGACCGGAACAAAUACAUACAGCCAACUGUAUUUGGCUUACGAACAAAAAAGCAGUUGACAACGAAAUACUCCCCUUACUACUUAAUGUAUGGAAGGGAGGCCCGUUACCCGUCUGAACUACCAGAUAAGUGGCAGAUAUCUGAGGAACGGAUCAAUGUACUAAUGACAAAUGAGGACGUCUGCCCCAACACUAAUGACCUCAAAGAUGUCUAAUAAAGUGGAGGCAAACAUUGCAGAGAUGCAGGAAAAGGUGCGAAAGAGGAAACUUGUAAAGGGGGAGGAUGACAGCUUUGUAUUGGGGGGGACAAAGUUUUGCGACAAAAUAUCCGGGAAGAACAGAGAAAAGGGGGUAAGCUGGAAACGGACUUGCUGGGUCCAUACACGGUGACAAAUCUAGAUGGGAAGAGUGCUGACCUGAUGACGCUACAAGGGAAACAUGUUGGCAAAAUCAACAUUGACGAUCUGAAGAGGUAUGUGGAACCAGAAGUGCGGAUACCCGCAAAAAGUAUUGCUGCCACAUCCACUUCUCCAUCACUGCAGCCCAGCCCCUUAAGGUGUUUGGGUGUUCCCCAAUCCUCGUCUGUACCUCCAAAAUCAAACUCCUUGAGCUCCAGUCCCCCGUCAUGGCAUGCACCUGCCUCCCCAGAGGAAUGCAAGUAUAGACAUCAAUACACUUUUAAUAUAAGGACAGUUUACUGAUUUUGGGACUUGAUAGGUCAUCAAAGUCCAAAUGAGGCCUCUGUAAACGACUCUUUUUUUCUAAUCUCAGUAAUCGCUGACAUAUGGGCGGGAAAACGUAAAGGUGUACUGUGGAGCAAAGUGGGGCCUUACAAGAUUUUUGCCACGGACCUUCAAAAUUUGGCCCCAGGGAGGCAGCUGGAGAGUGAGGUUUUGAAUGCAUUCCUGCAUACAAUUGUAAAGCAACAAGAAGGAACAGAAAGACAAUUGUGUCUCAUUGACUCAUUUCAGAUGACCACAAUAUGGCAAGGAUCAUUUAGAGGAUUGAAAAAGCUUGACCCCAUGGCCUUCGACAUCCUCAAAGGACCAGUUUGUGACAAACAGCACUGGACACUUGUGAGCUUUCAUGAGACAUACAAAUGUGCAUAUUACUCGGUGGACUUGUUGUACACUAAGCCAUCCAAAACAACAUGACUCAACCUCCUGUGAGGCACUUGUCUGCAAGUUUGCAGAGCUAAUUCUUAGUGGUGGUCUGAUAGAUUUCUCUACUGACGAGGCUUCCAUUACACAGUUGAGAAGAGAAAUAGCAUGUAGACUGGUCACUGACUCAGAAAACCCGACAGAACUAUGCAGGGCAUGUGGGAAUGCACAGCAAAGUCCAGGGUCAAAGAGAGAUGGGCAUGAUGACUGGAUCCAGUGCACAACGUGUGGGCUGUGGUUCCACUGGCUCUGCAUUGGAACACCCCCACUGCAGCAGGACUUCUGCUGUCCUGCAUCUUAUCUCUAAUGUAGGAUAGGUCACCGCAGAUCCUGGUUAGAUCUGGACCCUGGUCUUGCCUCCUUCUGUGGUUUUGUCAUAUCCAUUUUGUAGUUCUUAUGCUGAUCAUUCUGUACACAAGACAUCUAUUGCACUUCUGUCCAUCUUGGGAGAGGGAUCCCUCCUCGUUUUCUCUCCCACAGGUUUCUUCCUCUUUUUUCCCUGUUAAAAGAGUUUUGGGAGUUUUUCCUGUUUCGAUGUCGGGGUUCUGGGACAGAGGAUGUCUUAAUUGUACAGAUUGUAAAGCCAUCUAAUGCAAACAAUUGAUUUUGGGCUGGUCAAAAUAAAUUAAAUUUAAUUAUAAUUCCUUAUGAGUUUUUCCUGACUUUCUGAUAUUUAGGCAUGGUAAAACUUUUUUAUUUGUUUGCAAAUUGUGAGGCAUCAAGCAUUUAUAAGACAAUAAGGCCUCUAUUCCAUCAGAAACUCUAAUCAAGCAGUGUUUACACUGGCUGUAAAUCAUUGCGUUCAUUUUGUGGCUAGAACAUUACAGAUAUUCUAUUUUUC